rnacentral:rRNA from 1 species
GACGAACCGUGCGAACGUUGUUCGGAAUCACUGGGCUUAAAGGGCGCGUAGGCGGGUCGGAAAGUCCGCGGUGAAAUCCCCCGCUCAACGGGGGAACGGCCGCGGAUACUGCCGGCCUCGAGGGGGGUAGGGGCGAGCGGAACGCUGGGUGGAGCGGUGAAAUGCGUUGAUAUCCAGCGGAACUCCGGUGGCGAAGGCGGCUCGCUGGACCCCCACUGACGCUGAGGCGCGAAAGCCAGGGGAGCGAACGGG